UCCCGGUGAUUUCUUCCACCCCAGGCAAGCCACACCCUCCAUUUGCAUGAAUGCAAUGCAGUGACAUGGUUUCUUUAUUUAAACUUGUUUAAAUAUUGUUCUAGCUACUUGUGAUUUGUUCAUGGCAUUCUCGGAGUAUUGUUUUGAUCUUGCUAUUGCCAUGAUAUUGCUUGGAGUUCUAGGACUUAUAUUUUGAUGAUUAUGUGGAUGACAUGUGCCUUUGGAUUCUUAGUGGCUAUUAUGAUUAUUUUCAUGAUGGUAUCUGGGAUUAUUUUGGAGUAUUACUUUGGAUAUCAUGUUGCCUUUGGAUUAUUAGUGGCUAGUGUUAUUUCCAUCAUGAUGCUAGAUGAUAUUAUGUUUUGGAGUAUGAUGUUGGAGAUGAUGCUUGCAUGUGGAUCAUAGUUGGAUAGUUAGUUCUUGAUAUUUGAGUAGUAGUCUUAUCGUUCUUGGCUUCAUCACGAUAGUAGUGUUAUGCUGUCCUCGGAGUAUUUUGGUAAGAUGAUAUUAAGCCUUGGAUUAUUUGUGGGAUAUUGCUAUGACUUGGAUUAUAGUUUGAUAGUUGAUAUCGGAGUAUCAGUCAUCACAGUUAUAUUUUGGGGAUAAAUUCCGUCAUUAAGUUGGUCAGGUGCCACCGAACCGGGCUUUCUCCAGUGCAAGCACAUUUGCCUUUAUGGGAAGGCCCUAAUGCAAUGCUAUUCCCGUGCCUCUCGCCGGUGCCUCCAACGAGGGAAGGUUAUUGGCGCGCGCUACCCUGAUCAGGUAGGCGGACAUAAGCCUUGUGUGCCCAUAGUUGGAUUUUGCGCGUGUGUAUCCCCGUGUGGGACAGUUUAUGUUUUGGCCACGACGGUGGUCGUUGUGUCUUUGGUAGACACGGGGCCACCCAGGACUAGCCCAGUGGGGAGUGAGUCAGAGUGGCCGGGAGAGUGUCAUGGCAGUAGAUCGGUUUUGUCGGAACGCCGUUGGUCCACCCGAAUGGGAGUGCGAGGCCAUGGGUUCCGUGGUGUGGGUAAAGUGCGCUACCUCUGCAGAGUGUGUAUUUAAAUCUAUCGAUAGCCGCGUCCUCGGUCAUGGGCAUGGGUUCGUACUAGGUCACACCGUUCGAUCAACACUCACAUGACAGAAUGACUUAUAGGUGAUGUAUAUGUUGAUAUUUUGAGCAGUGCAGAUUGGCAGGAUGUUGAUAAUGAUGUUGGAGACCAAGUGUUGGUCAGGGUUGUGAUCGCCGGAAAAUCACAGUUUGACACCAAGUGUUGGUCAGUGUCGGGGAUAUACCCCGCGGCGUAAACCGGCUGGAAAUAUGACCCGGCCGGACUUGGCGGUUUACUUGAGACCCGAUUGACACUUGGCGAUUCACUGGUGACCUGCCCUGACCAGACGGUUUACAAGCAACCUGCAUGGACAUUAUAACUCACUGGUAACCCGGCGGGCGGGACAGACGGAUGACAAGGCCCAAGGCCCAAAGGGCCGGUUUAUAUUAAUGGUGGGCCGGUUUAAGAGGAAAGGCGUGAAGAAUAUUACCUUACAAGGAGUUAAAGACCCAGACUUGUAUCUGGUUUGUAUUAGAAGGUAGACUAGUCCUAAUCCUAAUAGGACUCCACAUGUAACCCGCCCCUCUAACUUAUAUAAGGAGGGGCAGGGCUCCCCAAAGAGGACAAGCAAGAAGAAACAAUCUUAGGGCUAGACACAACUAGGAGAGCCGGUUUACGACGACUCCCUCAUGUGCAUAAUGAGACCUAGCCACAAACAGCAUGUAGGGUUAUUACCGGAUGAUGUUUCCCAGGGCCCGAAGCUGUCUAAAUCCUCGUCUUGUGUGUUGCGUCUCUCGAUUCCGCUCAACCCCUCUCCAGGUACCACAUAGAUGCGUUGGCCUCACGACUAAUUCCUCACACUAGGACAUCUGCCGUGACAAUUCCAUGACAGUUGGCGCCCACCGUGGGGCCUGCGCACGGUGGUGUUGAGUUCUUGGAGGGAUCUCCCUAGGGAUCGAGGAGUUUGCAAUUUUUUGGACGAAGAUUUUUCUAUCCAUGAGAUUGAAUUCAAGAAAAGUCAACUACCGUUUGUCUGAGCAAGCGGCCAAGUCACAAAUCGCCAACACCAUUGUUUUCCGCUACGACAUGUUUCGCCGGCGUGUUAAGUUUUGGUCGGCAACUCAACCAACAUGGUUAGAGUCACCAGUUUCGUUCAGCAUCAGCAUUGGUUCGCCGAGUCCGAUGGAAGCAAAUCAUCAAAACGCGCAAAGCCAAGUCCCAAUCAAGCCAUCAGCUGAGACUACGGAUCGGACACUAUUUGUGAAGAUCAAUAAGAAAUUGAUGAUUAACGAUACGUCAGGAAGAUCAACGCAUCGUUCCACGAUCCGGGAGCGGAUUGUUUGCGGGCUCGGACUCCUUGGAAGACCCGCCCCAUUGGCAACCCGGAGGAGGGUUAUCCAAUGACCAUGACCGGAGCUGAAUUAGAGCACACGCUCGGUCUCUGCUAUCGAACCGCCCUCACCUCCGCCUUGUUGACGGAUCGCCGCUGAACCGCCGUUCGCCUGAGUCGCCGAUGCCGCCGGGGUUGGCCUUGUUUCCGCCUUGCCGCAAGCUCACCUCGCCUGCGCCCUCUGCUGGCUCACACCACUGCGCGCCCCGUCCGCGCAACUCACGCUAAAUCGCCGUCGUCGCCUCCGAGAAACUCACCCCCGAGUCACCGCUGGUUCAGGCCAAACCGGCCGUCUCUGAGCCGCCAUAUCACCUUUGCGGUGAAUUGCCGCGCCGGCUGGCCUCGAGUCACCACUUCCAUGGCCGACCACGCCCUCCGCCGGACUCCGCCCCGUCACGCGAUGAUCCUACCGUGAGCCGGCGCCGUUAGUGAGCUACCCGCCGCAGUUGCGACUCGUCCUUCCUCAAACCGCCGAAAUCCUCCGUUGUUGAGCCAGCCCUCUGCGGCCUCAUCGAUACGCCGCACCUCGAGUACCGGCGCACAUCACCGGCCACCAGCGAGUUGCCCGUCUCUGAGUCGCCGUCCGCGAACCGCCACGGCCUAACCGAGCCGGAGUGUCGUUUACCUUAGGGUGACCCGGCUGCUCUGCAUCGGCUUAAAAAGGAAAAAUGGCCCCGAGCCGCGUUGUCUCCGGCUGUGGCCGGGCCGGCCCGGCCUUGCCACCGUCAGGCGCCUUUGCCGGCAACCGCUAACCCGCCAGCUUCAUCUUUGCCUACUGGUUUGUUGCAAGACGCCUUCUGCUGGCCUCUGCUAUGGUUCUGCUCCGUAGAACGUCACCCUGAACCGCCGUCACGGAUGCGCCCAUGCAAACCGCCGUUCGCCUCCGGGUGACCCGCCUAGUUGCCUCCCUUUGCCGUGCGUCGAGCGGCCCUCGCUAAGCGGAUUGAGCCGCCUCCACCAUCAACAUCACGGCCACAGUUGCGUCGAGCCACCCCGACGUCAGCUCCGACCUCGAGUCACCUCCACAAAUAGCACCAAGUCGCCGCCGUGGAUCGAUCCACUGGUGCGCCAUGGCCUCACGCUUCAAACUGCAUUCACGUUCGCUAGAUUCACCCCUGCUUUCAAGGAGCCAUUGUUGCUAUUUUGCCUCUGCUGGCCGUUUCCACGCCGGGCUUUGCUGUAUCUCUGCGGUGAGUUUACACCGCAGCUGACCGCGCCUCGUGGCGCCUUGACAAACUUGCUUCCAUCGCCAGCCGUCUGCGCCUCAAGCCGGCCAGGCUACGGCCAUGGCCCUACCUCCAUUGCCGCUGUGGUCACGGAGUGUCUCAAGAGUCUAAGACCGGCUCUACUACCGCUGUAGCUCCUGUCGGCCCGGCCAUCAUGGCCUUAUAUCAAUUGUCCCUAUUCUGGCGGGCGCUAUCUUAAACGAUAAAGAAGAGUAGCAGAAGAUGCAGGAUUGGGAGCAGUGGCUCAGUAGUGCAUCGCAGCAGGUUGAAGUACUUGUUCAGGUUCAGCAAGAUAUGGGUGAGACAAUAGAUGCUUUUGGCUUGGCAUUCAUAAAAUUUCCAAAGUUUGUGAACUGAAGAAGCAGAGUCUCUGAGGAUAAGAGCUAUUGACAUCAAAAACAUAUAGCCGCCGAUUGCACAACCUGGGCAGUAUGGGAUUCCAGCAGUAUGCAGCAAAAGCAAUAAAGACGAGCCGUCCAUAAAGCAGUAAUGAGCCGGCAUCGGUGCAUCGUUACGAGGAAAUUUUUACCUUGCACACGGAUCGUUCGAGUGAGUGCAGGGAAGGUAAAUCUGGAGCAGCUAGCCUACCACUCCGUUCCGUGGAUAUAUGGACAGGAGGCUCGCGUUGGUUUAAACGUUGUGGCCAAUUCUUGCGCCUGCGCCGGUUUACACCGACUACCACUGCCGCGCCCGAAUCGUCAAUCCGUACCGGCUUACAAAUGCCACGGCCGACUCUCCCGCCCGUGCCGGCUUAUAAUGUCGCGGCCGACUCAUCUGUCCAUGCCGUCUCUGAUGCUGCGGUCGUCUUUGUCGUCCGUCUCUCGCGGCCUGGUCUACGUCAACACACCGGGCCGCACCUGUCUGCAUGAGAUGUUUAUUAAAUAUGAGCAAGUCACUGCUUGGGAAGCCCGGUUUUCUUCUGACAAAUUGGAGGCAAAUUAUCAUAUAUUGUCAGCCGCCGUCUGCACUGGAUGGUCCAAUGGGCAGGCGCACAAGCCACCGCCACUACAGUUUGGUUAACUUCAAAUCAUCAGUUGGAAGGAACCAUUGGCCGAGUUGCUGACACGGCUCAUACGGGAUCAUUUAUAACCCGCCGCAGUCACCUCAACCUUCUGUGGAUUCACAUCGUGCUAUCAACACCAAUAAUAUACGACUUAUGCCAGUUUAUAUCACGAUCAAAAUAUGGAGAAUGUCAAGCCAACUCCUCGAGUGGCCUUGAGACUUGGGGGCUACAAUGAUAUGACUCAGAGAAUGUUGCCGGUUUUCAGUGAAUUAAAGAACCCUAGGAUGUUGGAGGGAAAGAUAACCCGGUCCCAGAGGCUACUACCAUAUUGAUGAAAGUUCGAAGGCCGUAAGAAAAUUUUCGGUUCAAAAUGAAGAUUCCGGUUUAAAAUCCGGUUCAAGGGAAAAAUGUCUCCCACAAAGCUCUGAAGCUCUCAAAUCUGGUUUAAGAAUUUCUGGUUCAAAAAGAAUUAAUCUCUCGCAAGAUUCGAGUCUAAAGGCCGUCAGAAAAUUUCCGGCUGAAGAUUCCGGUUUAAAAUCCGGUUCAAGGGAAAGAUGUCUCCCACAAAGCUUUGAAGCUCUCAAUAUCCGGUUUAACAUCCGGUUCAAGAAGAAAUAUCUCUCGCAAAGUUCGAGUUCUCAGAAAAGUUACAUGGGGGCUUCUGUUUAUAAAGCGGCGUCUGGUUUACCUCUUGGUUCAGCUUAUCAAAGCUUUAUACAAUAUCACUUGGGGGCUUGGUCGUAUCCGAACCAUAGCUACACCUCUUGAUCGGCGCAAUGCCAGAACAUCACUUGGGGGCUUGGUCGUAUCCGAACCAUAGCUACACCUCUUGAUCGGCACAAUGCCACAACACCACUUGGGGGCUUGGUCGUAUCCGAACCAUAGCUACAUCUCUUGAUCGGCGCAAUGCCACAACAUCACUUGGGGGCUUGGUCGUAUCCGAACCAUAGUCACACCUCUUCAUCGGCUCAAAGCCAAAUCAAUCCGGGGCCAAAGAGAGUGUUGUAAAACAACAACUCAAACAUAGGCACCCACUGAGCACAGCUCAAAAUGUUACUUGGGGAUUCUUUGCUGUCAAAAUGAACAAAGAAUCUACACUUGUAAUAGGCUAUCAAGCCAUGGCUUGGAAGCCUGGUGUAUACACCUAAAACCCCAGGUUAGCCUGCCUUUUUAAGUAAGUUACUCCGCCCAGGUAGAACUUUGACAAGUUACUCUGAUAAGACCCUGAACUUGUCAAGUUAAAAUGAUGUUUGGUUAAGGAUUAAGGACCAUCUUAAAAGGCUUUGCAAAAUGGUUUAACUCAGUGGUCUGGCAGCCCAUGAAAAGCCUCGACUACAUGUUUUCAUUUGCUUUUUGCCAAGUUUUUCUUUCUUUUGAUAAGAAUUAUGAGUUUUUUUUGAUAAACCGGUGUUCAUCAACCCGGCUCGGCUUUCAACUACAAGUUGUCAGUACAUGCUCAGUUAUAAUCUGGCACUUAUUAACCCGGUCUGGUUUUGACUAUAAGUCGCCAGUAUUGAAUAUGGAUAAACCGGUGUUUAUCACAACCCGGUACGGUUUUAUCAUAAACCGGCACAGUAUGGAAGGAGUUAUCAUUACUCAAGAUUGGAGUUAUCACUCUUACUACAAAAAGUUGGUAAACCAACAAUGUGAUUCAAUGUCACAGGUAUGAUAUAUUACAUAUUUGAUUAUUCUUAAAUGCAGCCUUGGUUAUAAACCCGGGUUAUAUGUUGGGAAUUAUGACCCGUCCGGCGGUAAAUCGCCAGGACACUUUAAACUUGUUGUAUGCAGAAACAGGUUGAAUAAAGCAUGAUUAUAAAUCACCGGCGUUUAUUAACCCGGCCUGGCUUUCGACUAUAAGUCGCCAGUAUGAUGAUAAAUUAUCCAGUGUUUAUUAACCCGGACUGGCUUGGGAUUAUAAGUCGCCAGUAUAUAUUUGGAUUGCGCCAUUGGAAUCAUGCGCUCAUAAAUCAUUGGAUUAUAUUAUUCAAAUCUUCAAAUAACCAACAUGGCUGGAUUUUUAUUAUGGUUAUCAAUAACAAGUAUUAUGAUUAAGGUUUUCAAAGUCGCUUUAGCGCAGUGGCUAUUAUAUUACCAAUGGAUAUGAUUUAUUCUACAAUUGAAGAAAUAAUCCCGAGUCACUGCAGGCUUACGACCCGACACUUGGGGGCUAUAUUAUUCAUGUUGAGAUUACAUCAAAUAUGCAAGUCUCAUGUCGCUGCAAGCAUGCACCAUGGCACUUGGGGGCUAAUGCAAAGUCAUUUUUUGCUCACCUUAUUGAAGACCCGACUCAUCACAGUGUAAUGAGUCGGCCCUUGGGGGCUAUCAAUUGCUCCUGUCAACAAUUCAAGGUACACAAGUUUUAAAUCCAUUAUAUUGAAGGGUCCACUCCUCAGUUGGUAAAGCACAAAGCUCUUAACCUUGUGGACGUGGGUUCAAGCCCCAUGAUGGGAGUUACAUUAUAUGAUGUUAUUUUCAAUGAAGUAUAUAUAAAGUCCCAGCUUAGUAUUAUCUUACUAAGCCGGCCCUUGGGGGCUACACGUUGUUGUUCAAGUCUACAUGAUCAUAUCUACAAAGUCCCUGCUCAUUAUCUGCAUAAUGACCCGGCCCUUGGGGGCUACACUGGUUGAAGUUUUUAUGAGCAUCAGGAAAUUACAAGUCCCAGGUUGCUGCAAGCAUGACAACCCGGCACUUGGGGGCUACAUAAUAUGGAAUAUUCAGUUGUGACUAGUUACUGAGAUGAACAAUCCGGAUUUCUUCAAGGUUGCAACAUUUAUAUUGAAACAAGUCUUAAGCUAUUAUUAUGUUCUCCUCUUAAGACUUGGGGGCUACAGGUAAUAUGCAUAUAAAGGAGGAACAUCUGCAGAUUCUCAAUUUUGGGCAAAUCAGGAAGAUUAAUUGUGUGACCCGGCAUUGGCAACAAUCAUAACCCGGCGUCUAUAAACGGUCAUGACCCGGGAUCAUCAGUUUUUAUAACCCGGCAAUUUUGGCAAUGAUAAACUGGCAAGUUCUACAUUUUCAAACCGGCGGAUAUCAGUUGAAUAUUUGAAGACCAAUAUUUUUGUCAAAUCAGAGCAUUGAAGGCCGAUUCAAAUGGAUUCUUUAUUUACAAAAUAUUUUCUGCAAGCAAAUUGAUCAUGAAGCUGGUCUAUUGACUCAGAUUUUUCAGAAGGAAGAGAUGACAAGGACUUAAGGAUGAUCAAAUGCCGGUUUAUAAGAAUAUUUAAACCGGAGCACAACCCGCCAAAUUUGUUCUUGUGUUUAUGUUGCAGAUCAGUUUAACAUGGAUAAAUCCAAAUUAAACUGGGGGCUAAUGUCGGGGAUAUACCCCGCGGCGUAAACCAGCCGGAAAUAUGACCCGGCCGGACUUGGCGGUUUACUUGAGACCCGAUUGACACUUGGCGAUUCACUGGCGACUUGCCCUGACCAAACGGUUUACAAGCAACCUGCCUGGACAUUAUAACUCACUGGUAACCCGGCGGGCGGGACAGACGGAUGACAAGGCCCAAGGCCCAGAGGGUCGGUUUAUAUUAAUGGUGGGCCGGUUUAAGAGGAAAGGCGUGAAGAAUAUUACCUUACAAGGAGUUAAAGACCCGGACUUGUAUCCAGUUUGUAUUAGAAGGUAGACUAGUCCUAAUCCUAAUAGGACUCCACAUGUAACCCGCCCCUCUAACUUAUAUAAGGAGGGGCAUGGCUUCCCAAAGAGGACAAGCAAGAAGAAACAAUCUUAGGGCUAGACACAACUAGGAGAGCCGGUUUACGGCGACUCCCUCAUGAGCAUAAUGAGACCUAGCCACAAACAACAUGUAGGGUUAUUACCGGAUGAUGUUUCCCGGGGCCCGAAGCUGUCUAAAUCCUCGUCUUGUGUGUUGCGUCUCUCGAUUCCGCUCAACCCCUCUCAAGCUACCACAUAGAUGCGUUGGCCUCACGACUAAGUCCUCACACUAGGACAUCUGCCGUGACAAUUCCACGACAGUCAGGGUUGUGAUCGCCGGAAAGAUCACAGUUUGAGUAUUGGGGAACAUAGUAAUUUCAAAAAAAUUCCUACGCACACACAGGAUCAUGGUGAUGCAUAGCAACGAGAGGGGAGAGUGUGUCCACAUACCCUCGUAGACCGAAAGCGGAAGCGUUAGCACAACGCGGUUAAUGUAGUCGUACGUCUUCACGAUCCGACUGAUCCAAGUACCGAACGUACGGCACCUCCGAGUUCAGCACACGUUCAGCUCGAUGACGUCCCGCGAACUCCGAUCCAGCAGAGCUUCACGGGAGAGUUCCGUCAGCACGAUGGCGUGAUGACGGUGAUGAUGUUGCUACCGACUCAGGGCUUCGCCUAAGCACCGCUACGAUAUGACCGAGGUGGAAUAUGGUGGAGGGGGGCACCGCACACGGCUAAGAGAUCAAGAGAUCAAUUGUUGUGUCUAGAGGUGCCCCCUGCCCCCGUAUAUAAAGGAGGGAGGGAGAGACCAGCCCUAGAGGGGGCGCGCCAAGUGUGGGGAGUCCUACUAGGACUCCCAAGUCCUAGUAGGAUUCCCCUUUCCUUUCCGGAGUAGGAGAGAAGGAAAGAGGGGGAGAGGGAGAAGGAAAAGGGGGCUGCACCCCUUGUCCAAUUCGGACCAGAGGGGGGGGGCGCCUCCUUCCUUUUGGCCUCUCUCCUCUAUUCCCGUAUGGCCCAAUAAGGCCCAAUACUUCUCCCGGUGAAUUCCCGUAACUCCCCGGUACUCCGAAAAUACCCGAAUCACUCGGAACCUUUCCGAUGUCCGAAUAUAGUCGUCCAAUAUAUCGAUCUUUACGUCUCAACCAUUUCGAGACUCCUCGUCAUGUCCCCGAUCUCAUCCGGGACUCUGAACUACCUUCGGUAUAUCAAAUCACAUAAACUUAUAAUACAAUCGUCACCGAAACUUUAAGCGUGCGGACCCUACGGGUUCGAUAACUAUGUAGACAUGACCGAGACACGUCUCCGGCCAAUAACCAAUAGCGGAACUUGGACGCUCAUAUUGGCUCCCACACAUUCUACGAAGAUCUUUAUCGGUCAAACCGCAUAACAACAUACGUUGUUCCCUUUGUCAUCGGUAUGUUACUUGCCCGAGAUUCGAUCAUCGGUAUCUCAAUACCUAGUUCAAUCUCGUUACUGGCAAGUCUCUUUACUCGUUCCGUAAUACAUCAUCCCGUAACUAACUCAUUAGUUACAAUGCUUGCAAGGCUUAUAGUGAUGUGCAUUACCGAGUGGGCCCAGAGACACCUCUCCGACAAUCGGAGUGGCAAAUCCUAAUCUCGAAAUACGCCAACCCAACAAGUACCUUCGGAGACACCUGUAGAGCACCUUUAUAAUCACCCAGUUACGUUGUGACGUUUGGUAGCACACAAAGUGUUUCUCCGGUAAACGGGAGUUGCAUAAUCUCAUAGUCAUAGGAACAUGUAUAAGUCAUGAAGAAAGCAAUAGCAACAUACUAAACGAUCGGGUGCUAAGCUAACGUAAUGGGUCAUGUCAAUCACGUCAUUCUCCUAAUGAGGUGAUCCCGUUAAUCAAAUGACAACUCAUGUCUAUGGCUAGGAAACAUAACCAUCUUUGAUUAACGAGCUAGUCAAGUAGAGGCAUACUAGUGACACUCUGUUUGUCUAUGUAUUCACACAUGUAUUAUGUUUCCGGUUAAUACAAUUCUAGCAUGAAUAAUAAACAUUUAUCAUGAUAUAAGGAAAUAUAUAAUACUUUAUUAUUGCCUCUAGGGCAUAUUUCCUUCAGUCUCCCACUUGCACUAGAGUCAAUAAUCUAGUUCACAUCACCAUGUGAUUUAACACCAAUAGUUCACAUCACCAUGUGAUUAACACCCAUUGUUCACAUCGUCAUGUGACCAACACCCAAAGGGUUUACUAGAGUCGAUAAUCUAGUUCACAUCACUAUGUGAUUAACACCCAAAGAUUACUAAGGUGUGAUCAUGUUUUGCUUGUGAGAGAAGUUUAGUCAACAGGUCUGCCACAUUCAGAUCCGUAUGUAUUUUGCAAAUUCUAUGUCUACAAUGCUCUGCACGGAGCUACUCUAGCUAAUAGCUCCCACUUUCAAUAUGUAUCCAGAUUGAGACUUAGAGUUAUCUGGAUCAUUGUCAAAACUUGCAUCGACGUAACCCUUUACGAUGAACCUUUUGUCACCUCCAUAAUCGAGAAACGUAUCCUUAUUCCACUAAGGAUAAUUUCGAUCGCCGUCCAGUGAUCUACUCCUAGAUCACUAUUAUACUCCCUUGCUAAACUCAGUGUAGGGUUUACAAUAGAUCUGGUACACAACAUGGCAUACUUUAUAGGACCUAUGGCUGAGGCAUAGGGAAUGACUUUCAUUCUCUUUCUAUCUUCUCCCGUGGUCGGGCUUUGAGUCUUACUCAAUUUCACACCUUGUAACAUAGGCAAGAACUCUUUCUUUGACUGUUCCAUUUUGAACUACUUCAAAAUCUUGUCAAGGUAUGUACUCAUUGAAAAAACUUAUUAAGCGUCUUGAUCUAUCUCUAUAGAUCUUGAUGCUCAAUAUGUAAGCAGCUUCACCGAGGUCUUUAUUUGAAAAACUCCUUUCAAAUACUCCUUUAUGCUUUCCAGAAAAUUCUACAUUAUUUCUGAUCAACAAUAUGUCAUUCACAUAUAUUUAUCAGAAAUGUUGUAAUGCUCCCACUCACUUUCUUGUAAAUAGAGGCUUCACCGCAAAUCUGUAUAAAACUAUAUGCUUUAAUCAACUCAACAAAGCGUAUAUUCCAACUCCGAGAUACUUGCACCAGUCCACAGAUGGAUCGCUGGAGCUUGCACAUUUUGUUAGCACCUUUAGGAUUGAAAAAACCUUCUGGUUUCAUCAUAUACAACUCUUCUUUAAUAAAUACAUUAAGGAUUGCAGUUUUGUUAUCCAUUUGCCAGAUUUCAUAAAAUGCGGCAAUUGCUAACAUGAUUCGGGCAGACUUUAAGCAUCGAUACGAGUGAGAAAAUCUCAUCGUAGUCAACACCUUGAACUUUGUCAAAAACCUUUUCUGACAAGUCUAGCUUUGUAGAUAGUAACACUACUAUCAGCGUCUGUGUUCCUCUUGAAGAUCCAUUUAUUUUCUAUGGCUUGCCGAUCAUCGGGCAAGUCAACCAAAGUCCAUACUUUGUUCUCAUACAUGGAUCCUAUCUCAGAUUUCAUGGCCUCAAACCAUUUCGUGGAAUCUGGGCUCAUCAUCGCUUCCUCAUAGUUCGCAGGUUCGUCAUGGUCUAGUAACAUGACUUCCCGAACAGGAUUACUGUACCACUCUGGUGCGGAUCUUACUCUGGUUGACCUACGAGGUUUGGUAGAAACUUGAUCUGAAGUUUCAUGAUCAUCAUCAUUAACUUCCUCACUAAUUCGUGUAGGCAUCACUGGAACUGAUUUCAGUGAUGAGCUACUUUUUAAUUCGAGAGAAGGUACAAUUACCUCAUCAAGUUCUACUUUCCUCCCACUCACUUCUUUCGAGAGAAACUCCUUCUCUAGAAGGGAUCCAAAUUUAACAACAAAUGUCUUGCCUUCAGAUCUGUGAUAGAAGGUGUACCCAACUGUCUUCUUUGGGUAUCCUAUGAAGACACAUUUCUCCGAUUUGGGUUUGAGCUUAUCAGGAUGAAACUUUUUCACAUAAGCAUCGCAACCCCAAACUUUAAGAAACGACAACUUUGGUUUCUUGCCAAACCACAGUUCAUAUGGUGUCGUCUCAACGGAUUUAGAUGGUGCCCUAUUUAACGUGAAUGCAGCUGUCUCUAAUGCAUAACCCCAAAACGAUAGUGGUAAAUCGGUAAGAGACAUCAUAGAUUGCACCAUAUCUAAUAAAGUACGGUUAUGAUGUUCGGACAUACCAUUACGCUGUGGUGUUCCAGGUGGCGUGAGUUGCGAAACUAUUCCGCAUUGUUUCAAAUGAAGACCAAACUCGUAACUCAAAUAUUCUUCUCCAUGAUCAGAUCAUAGAAACUUUAUUUUCUUGUUACGAUGAGUUUCCACUUCACUCUGAAAUUAUAUGAACUUUUCAAAUGUUUCAGACUUAUGUUUCAUCAAGUAGAUAUACCCAUAUCUGCUCAAAUCAUCUGUGAAGGUUAGAAAAUAACGAUACCCGCCGCGAGCCUCAAUAUUCAUCGGACCACAUACAUCAGUAUGUAUGAUUUCCAACAAAUUUGUUGCUUGCUCCAUUGUUCCGGAGAACGGUGUUUUAGUCAUCUUGCCCAAGAGGCAUGGUUUGCAAGCAUCAAGUGAUUCAUAAUCAAGUGAUUCCAAAAGCCCAUCACCAUGGAGUUUCUUUAUGCGCUUUACACCAAUAUGACCUAAACGGCAGUGCCACAAAUAAGUUGCACUAUCAUUAUUAACUUUGCAUCUUUUGGUUUCAAUAUUAUGAAUAUGUGUAUCACUACAAUCGAGAUCCAAUGAACCAUUUUCAUUGAGUGUGUAAUCAUAUAAGGUUUUCUUCAUGUAAACAGAACAACAAUUAUUCUCUAACUUAAAUGAAUAACCGUAUUGCAAUAAACAUGAUCAAAUCAUAUUCAUGCUCAACGCAAACACUAAAUAACACUUAUUUAGGUUCAACACUAAUCCCGAAAGUAUGGGGAGUGUGCGAUGAUGAUCAUAUCAAUCUUGGAACUACUUCCAACACACAUCGUCACCUCGCCCUUAACUAGUUUCUGUUCAUUCUGCAACUCCCGUUUCGAGUUACUAAUCUUAGCAACUGAACUAGUAUCAAAUACUGAGGGGUUGCUAUAAACACUAGUAAGGUACACAUCAAUAACAUGUAUAUCAAAUAUACCUUUUUUCACUUUGCCAUCCUUCUUAUCCGCCAAAUACUUGGGGCAGUUCCGCUUCCAGUGACCAGUCCCUUUGCAGUAGAAGCACUUAAUCUCAGGCUUAGGUCCAGACUUGGGUUUCUUCACUUGAGCAGCAACUUGCUUGCCGUUCUUCUUGAAGUCCCCCUUCUUCCCUUUGCCCUUUUUCUUGAAACUAGUGGUCUUGUUAAUCAUCAACACUUGAUGCUCUUUCUUGAUUUCUACCUUCAUCGAUUUCAUCAUCAUGAAAAGCUCGGGAAUCGUUUUCAUCAUCCCUUGCAUACUAUAGUUCAUCACGAAGUUCUACUAACUUGGUGAUGGUGACUAGAGAAUUCUGUCAAUCACUAUUUUAUCUGGAAGAUUAACUCCCACUUGAUUCAAGCGAUUGUAGUACCCAGACAAUCUGAGCACAUGCUCACUGCUUGAGCUAUUCUCCUCCAUCUUUUAGCUAUAGAACUUGUCGGAGACUUCAUAUCUCUCAACUCGAGUAUUUGCUUGAAAUAUUAACUUCAACUCCUGGAACAUCUCAUAUGGUCCAUGAUGUUCAAAACGUCUUUGAAGUCCCGAUUCUAAGCCGUUAAGCAUGGUGCACUAAACUAUCAAGUAGUCAUCAUAUUGAGCUAGCCAAACGUUCAUAACGUCUGCAUCUGCUCCUACAAUAGGUCUGUCACCUAGCGGUGCAUUAAGGACAUAAUUCUUCUGUGAAGCAAUGAGGAUAAUCCUCAGAUCACGGAUCCAAUCCGCAUCAUUGCUACUAACAUUUUUCAACAUAGUUUUCCUCUAGGAACACAACAAACGGGGAGCAACAUCGCGAGCUAUUGAUCUACAACAUAGAUAUGCUAAUACUACUAGGACUAAGUUCAUGAUAAAUUAAAGUUGAAUUAAUCAUAUUACUUAAGAACUCCCACUUAGAUAGACAUCCCUUUAAUCAUCUAAGUGAUCACUUGAUCCAAAUCAACUAAACCAUGUCCGAUCAUCACGUGAGAUGGAGUAGUUUUCAAUGGUGAACAUCACUAUGUUGAUCAUAUCUACUAUAUGAUUCACGCUCGACCUUUCGGUCCCGAGUGUUCCGAGGCCAUAUCUGCAUAUGCUAGGCUCGUCAAGUUUAACCCGAGUAUUCUGCGUGUGCAAAACUGUCUUACACCCGUUGUAUUUGAACGUAGAGCUUAUCACACCCGAUCAUCACGUGGUGUCUCGGCACGAAGAACUGUCGCAACGGUGCAUACUCAGGGAGAACACUUAUACCUUGAAAUUUUAGUGAGAGAUAAUCUUAUAAUUCUACCGUCGAACUAAGCAAAAUAAGAUGUAUAAAAGAUAAACAUCACAUGCAAUCAUAAUAUGUGACAUGAUAUGGCCAUGAUCAUCUUGCGCCUUUGAUCUCCAUCUCCAAAGUACCGUCAUGAUCUCCAUCGUCACCGGCAUAACACCAUGAUCUCCAUCAUCUUGAUCUAUAUCAAUGUGUCGUCACAUGGUCGUCUCGCCAACUAUUGCUCUUGCAACAAUUGCUAUCGCAUAGCGAUAGAGUAAAGCAAUUAUUUGGCGCUUGCAUCUUAUGCAAUAAAGAGACAACCAUAAGGCUUUUGCCAGUUGCCGAUAACUUCAACAAAACAUGAUCAUCUCAUACAACAACUUAUAUCUCAUCACGUCUUGACCAUAUCACAUCACAACAUGCCCUGCAAAAACAAGUUAGACGUCCUCUACUUUGUUGUUGCAAGUUUUACGUGGCUGCUACGGGCUGAGCAGAACCGUUCUUACCUACACAUCAAAACCACAACGAUAGUUCGUCAAGUUAGUGUUGUUUUAACCUUCUCAAGGACCGGGCGUAGCCACACUCGGUUCAACUAAAGUUGGAGAAACUCACACCCGCCAGCCACCUGUGUGUAAAGCACGUCGGUAGAACCAGUCUCGCGUAAGCGUACGCGUAAUGUCGGUCUAGGCCGCUUCAUCCAAUAAUACCGCCGAACCAAAGUAUGACAUGCUGGUAAGCAGUAUGACUUGUAUCGCCCACAACUCACUUGUGUUCUACUCGUGCAUAUAACAUCUACGCAUAAAACCAGGCUCGGAUGCCACUGUUGGGGAACGUAGUAAUUUCAAAAAAAAUCCUACGCACACACAGGAUCAUGGUGAUGCAUAGCAACGAGAGGGGAGAGUGUGUCCACGUACCCUCAUAGACUGAAAGCGGAAGCGUUAGCACAACGCGGUUGAUGUAGUCGCACGUCUUCACGAUCCGACCGAUCCAAGUACCGAACGUACGGCACCUCCGAGUUCAGCACACGUUCAGCUUGAUGACGUCCCGAGAACUCUGAUCCAGCAGAGUUUCACAGGAGAGUUCCGUCAGCACGACGGCGUGAUGACGGUGAUGAUGUUGCUACCGACGCAGGGCUUCGCCUAAGCACCACUACAAUAUGACCGAGGUGGAAUAUGGUGGAGGGGGGCACCGCACACGGCUAAGAGAUCAAGAGAUCAAUUGUUGUGUCUAGAGGUGCCCCCUGCCCCUGUAUAUAAAGGAGGGAGGGAGAGGCCGGCCGUAGAGGGGGCGCGCCAAGUGUGGGGAGUCCUACUAGGACUCCCAAGUCCUAGUAGGAUUCCCCUUUCCUUUCCGGAGUAGGAGAGAAGGAAAGAGGGGGAGAGGGAGAAGGAAAAGGGGGCUGCACCCCUUCUCCAAUUCGGACCAGAGGGGGGGGGGGCGCGCCUCCUUCCUUUUGGCCUCUCUCCUCUAUUCCCGUAUGGCCCAAUAAGGCCCAAUACUUCUCCCGGUGAAUUCCCGUAACUCCCCGGUACUUCGAAAAUACCCGAAUCACUCAGAACCUUUCCGAUGUCCGAAUAUAGUCGUCCAAUAUAUCGAUCUUUACGUCUCAACCAUUUCGAGACUCCUCGUCAUGUCCCUGAUCUCAUCCGGGACUCUGAACUACCUUUGGUACAUCAAAUCACAUAAACUUAUAAUACAAUCGUCACCGAAACUUUAAGCGUGCGGACCCUACGGGUUCGAGAACUAUGUAGACAUGACCGAGACACGUCUCCGGCCAAUAACCAAUAGUGGUACCUGGAUGCUCAUAUUGGCUCCCACAUAUUCUACGAAGAUCUUUAUCGGUCAAACCACAUAACAACAUACGUUGUUCCCUUUGUCAUCGGUAUGUUACUUGCCCGAGAUUCGAUCAUCGGUAUCUCAAUACCUAGUUCAAUCUCGUUACUGGCAAGUCUCUUUACUCGUUCGGUAAUACAUCAUCCCGUAACUAACUCAUUAGUUACAAUGCUUGCAAGGCUUAUAGUGAUGUGCAUUACCGAGUGGGCCCAGAGACACCUCUCCGACAAUCGGAGUGGCAAAUCCUAAUCUCGAAAUAUGCCAACCCAACAAGUACCGUCGGAGACACCUGUAGAGCACCUUUAUAAUCACCCAGUUACAUUGUGGCGUUUGGUAGCACACAAAGUGUUCCUCCGGUAAAUGGGAGUUGCAUAAUCUCAUAGUCAUAGGAACAUGUAUAAGUCAUGAAGAAAGCAAUAGCAACAUACUAAACGAUCAAGUGCUAAGCUAACGGAAUGGGUCAAGUCAAUCACAUCAUUCUCCUAAUGAUGUGAUCCCGUUAAUCAAAUGACAACUCAUGUCCAUGGCUAGGAAACUCAACCAUCUUCGAUUAACGAGCUAGUCAAGUAGAGGCAUACUAGUGACACUAUGUUUGUCUAUGUAUUCACACAUGUACUAAGUUUCCGGUUAAUACAAUUCUAGCAUGAAUAAUAAACAUUUAUCAUGAUAUAAGGAAAUAAAUAAUAACUUUAUUAUUGCCUCUAGGGCAUAUUUCCUUCAUUGAGACCAAGUGUUGGUCAUGGUAGUGAUCGCCGGAAAGAUCACCGUUUGGUUUUGAUCACGAGGUGAUCAAGAUGGUAUAUUGCUUGGCCGGCUAGCCAAGAGAUAUAUGGUUAUGGAGAUAUGAGAUGUUGGUUUGUCAGUAUUGUAGUAGUUUCAUAUCAUGCUUAGUAGUUGCUGUCAUAUCAUGGUAGUUGUUAAUUAAUUAACCUGUUAAUGCUAUGUUAUUGUCUUGCCUUGAUGUUUAUGGUUGUUGUGAGCGUGCAAGUACAUUCAAUGUACUGACUUGGCGUGUCAUGCCAGAUUGCAGGUGAUGCCAUGAUUGCUUGAUUGUUUGUCGAGGUGUCUAUUCGUGCGAGCUAGAUCGUGUCCCAGCUAGAGUCCCUGCAGAGUGGAGUUCACCAUCUUCAUCGUUGUUCCGCUGCUACUAGUUGUUCCGCUGCUAGCAUAGAGCAAGUGUAGUAUCGCAGGCGUAGUGUCGCCGUGCUGAUGUGCUUCUUUGUAACAUCAGACCCUUGUAUUAUUAUUCUUGUAAUAAGAGCUGAUUUGUUCUAUGUCAAGCAGUGCCGUAUUCCAGAGACUUUUCCUCGAUCUCUGGGCUAGAAUACGGGGCGUUCCGGUUUCUCUGAGCCGGGGUGCCACAGGCUUGGUAUCAGAGUAGGUCUGGCUGUAGGAUGCCCUAGUCAGCGCGAGCGGUAGAAACCGGUAGUAAUCGAUAGUAUAGGCUCUACCUUGUUUGUUGCAUUUGGUUGCUGCAUUUGUUUGUUGCAUAGCAUGCAUAUAGCCUUAUUAUUUUGCUACUGACGGUUUAUCUGGUGAGUGUAGCUGGCAUUGGUCCGGAUCCACUACAACUCAACCUUUGCAUUUCUUCAGUUUUCUUUUCUUGCUCGUUCUUCGGUGUUUGGUGUCAUUUCUGUCCCAGCGGAGUGAUGCCAAGUGAUCCCGACACUGUUUGCAGAAAUGGUGCGCUUGAUAAUAAUGUGGUCGCGACAUUCGUGUCCUGCUACAUGGUUACCAAGUACGUCCUCGCCUCUGAGCUAGUCCAGGUUGCUACCUGGCUAAGCUAGCACUUGGUGUAGCGCUGUUUACACCAAUUCUUCCACACAUUUAUUCGUCCUCGUGCACAUCGUCACAGCAUGCUAGAUCGUAGAACCGGAGAUCCCGCGAGAUUUGUGUGCUUAAGUAGGCAUGCAUAUUGUGUGACUCGCAGUAAAAUGUGACAUUGAUUGUGUGUGAAUUGAUUGUUGUUGUGUGCUUUUGUUUAGUUGAGUUUUCUUUUGCUUCUUUUUUUUCUGGGCCCCGGUGUUACAUUAUUUCCCCCCUAUAAAGAGUUGCUCAUCAACCAACACCGGACUCAAAGAAGCAACAAGGAGUUUGAAUAUUUGGAAACUCAGCUAAACAGAAUGGAAUUCUCAGUCGUCUGCAGUAAAAUGGGAAAUAUCUGAUCUUGAGGCUGAUAAUCAAUUGUGCAUCAGUGUGCACUCCUCUCGACAGUACUGAUAAAUCAAGUUCCCAUCAGUACCAAAUCCUCACAACAGUAAUGAUCAAGUCAGCAGCAAGACAAGUCAGGUACAAGCCCAACGGUAUAUUUUCAGACAGAGGUAUGGAUCAUAUACAAAGUUUUGGCUCAACAAUGCAUAAUGCUUGAAAUAUGUUAUCAUCCGAAAUAAAGUCAGAAUGUGACAUGCUCGAGGAAGACAGUCAAACCAUUUUUCUCAUGCAAAUAAUCAGCCUCAGAAUAUUAUGGGCGUGUGUAUGGAUUUCAGUCUGCAUAUCAGUAUGAAGUUUUGGAUAUAAGAAACCCAGUAUUAUUCCACACGCUAUUGGAAGAAAUUUAUGAGGCAAGGCUCCUCAAUUUUUCCUCAGCAUGAUAUGUGAACAAUUUCCGGCCCACGAUACCCGGUCUUUCUCAACAAGAUACCUCGGUAAAAGCUUCUGGCAGACAUAAAUGAAUUUUUCUCAACAAGCAAAACUGAGGAGAAGGUUCUCAAGUACGGAACUCAGGCUUCUCCAGCACAAUAAUCCGACCAAGCUUCAUGUGUAAGCUAUCGAGAUUUCUUCUGCACGCUACCCAGACCAAAAGCCUCGAGCAGAUUCUAAGAGUCUUCCUCAGUAAGCUACUCGGAUGGCUUCCCUCGUAAGCCACCCAGUCCGCGCUAGUACCACACUAUGUACCGUCCUCAGAGAUUAUAUGAUGAGUUGGCAGUAUAUGGCAGUACAUCUCAAGGAUCAUAUUUGCAAUAAUUUUGUCAGAGGUACAAUUCAGUCAAAACAUAUGCCUGCCGCAAUAAUCGGGUAUUCAGUUGCAUACGAUUAUUAUACAUAUGGUAAGCAUGUAUCCUCGGUCAGAUCAGUCACUCAUACGGGAUACGGCACUGAUCCAGCAGAUAUACCUAAGAAAGGUACGGACCCAACAACCUCAUAAGUCAUGCAAAUGAAGAUAAGCAGAGAUACAUCUCAUGAAUUACAAGGAUCGACAAGAUCUGGGGAUGACAUCACAGAAUCCACAGUCUUGACCAUGGUCAUCAAGGUCAUUAUUCCCGCACCAGACAAGGUUAUAUCAUGAAACCUUGUCACCUUCUUGUAUGAUUGGCCUCAGCAAUGAGCUCCGUACAGCUACAAACCCCGAGUAUAUGUCAUAUAUGUGCGGACACAGGUCAGAAAAUCAAGCACAAGGAAUAAUGUCAAAAAUAUUAAUCACAAUCAUGGUCAUAUGAAGAAUCAAGGACAUGUGUGGCCAAGUUAUUUCAGUAAGGUAUCCUCACAAAGAAAAUCAUGAUUGUUAAAGGGUGAGACUGACAACAAAGGUAUGACGAUUUUUGCAUGAACAUCAGGGUCCGGAUACCCAAAUCAGUUGGAGGCCGUAAUUCCAUAUGGAGCCACAAAGGCAUACCCUCAGAGGAUUGCUCCGUUCUACAAGGAUUUCAUAUCCCGCUGACCCGCUUGAAAUGGUUAGUGCAGAAUAUCCAAGUCUGUUCUGUCAGAUCCAAGAUUUCCUUUUGUAAACUCUGCAGUUUGACCUCAGCGGCAGUGUUACAGCAUCUCAUAGCUUCAUUUCCACACCUGGGUAUACCGACAACAUGGGUAAAUUAAAAGCCGAACCAUCAGCUCAGAUCAAGUAUAUUCACUGGCGGAACCAUGUACACGGACAACAUGUCAAGAAAAUUAUUUUCCCGCCAGCACCCUGUCAGGCCAGUCUCAAGGUAUUAAUAUUCGAUGGUAUGACACAGCUGUAACUCCAUACCCCGUUAUAUCGCUCAUGACAGAAGGCAGUCGAAUCUUGGGUACAGACCCCAUGCUCGAGUCAAAGGGAUCAAUUUAGAUAAAUCAGUACCACUUGCGAGCAGUCAGAUCCUGUCAGAAAAUGGCCAUGAUUCUCAACAUUUAUGGAAUCAAGAAGACAUGCAUUUGUUUGAGUAACCCGGUAGCAGAAGUAAAAAGUUUUCAUGGAAAAGGAAAUUUAUGAUCAGAUCCAUUCGAUAUCACCGCAUAUAUGAGAAAACUUACGUCAGCAAAAGGAAGUGGUAUAUGAGCAAAAACCCGUCAGAAUUUGGGGAAAGGUGAAGCAAGCCAACCCCAGAGCAAGGUAAGUUGAUCAUCUGAAAUUCUUGGGGGAACAAUAAAUAAAGGACAAAGGAUACCGAGGUGGAAACGGUAUCCUCAAGUCAUACUUGUUCCGAGAGCAACUAAAUCUCGAGGAUGAGAUUUCUUUAAGGGGGUAAGAGUUGUAACAGCCUGGAUUUUGGCCCUUUUCUUUUUCUUUUGAUUUAUUUGGUUUUUGCUCUGUUUUUCUUUUUUUGGAGUGGUUCUGUGGCCUUGUCACUUGGGAAAUCAUCUUCAAUUCUUCUCCCAAGUGGCUCAUCAUCCUCGAAUCUUUUCCAAGGUCAUGCCAAUCCCAUCCUAGCCCAAAUCCCAAUAUUCUUUUCUUGGGGAAAAUUCCUUUUUCAUUAAAGGAAUAACCUCAAUUGCCCUAGGUUGUGAAGCAACCUAUAUUUCUGCCCAUCCAAAAAUUCCCAUAUAAUUCUUAAAAUUCCUUUGGGUCAUAUGUUCCUCAAAUAUGCCCGAACUUUCCUGUCCUAGCUCAAAAAUAAUUCCCCAAUAAUUAUUCUUCUAUUCUGCCCUAAAUGGCACUUUGUGAAGGAAGUGUCAUUUAUAUUUUCCUAGUUGCUCCCAAACUCCUUGGGCAUUAUUUUAUGUCCAAAUCAUUGCCUCAUGCACAAGUUUAACUUUAUUUGCCUAGCCAAUCUUCCUCAGUGAAUUUUCAAAGUUUCUGUCAGAUAGAAGGCUUUGUGAAGGAAGUACUAGCUAGGAGUAUCCAAAUGAGUUAAACUUUUGCACACUCCUUCAUGUGCUCAUAUUAAUCUCCUCCACCCAUUUUAAGCCUCAUCCAAUCAUCUAUGUGAGCACAGGAGCAAAUCUUUGAUUCUGGCAAUAUUUUCAAGUUGUGAAGCAAGUGCAUUUUAUAUUGCUUCAAAAAUCCUGAUAAAUUACCCGAUCACCCUCCUACCCAUAAAACAUCUCUCCACCCAAUUUGGCAUCAUUUCAAUGAGCCAUUUCAUCACCAAAAUUAUUCCAUGUUUCUGGAUAGAAAUGAUGUUUGUGAAGCAAGUACCAUUUUGGCUUGUCCAUUUGGUAUGAGCUUUUUACAUAAUCUUUAUAUGUCCAUAUCAUGAGGAUUUGCCAAGUUGCAUCCCUUUCCAUAACACCAUGUGAGUGCAUCAUCCAAAUCUUGAUUCUGGACCAAUUUUGGGGUUACACAACAACUAGAUUAGUUUGUGCUCCAUAGUUAAUCAUCCCAGACAACACCAUUUGACCCAAUCAUUUUCCUGUUGAUUAGCAGUGCUCUGCUAAGUUUGAUGCAGUAAACUUCAGAGCUUAGUUACCAUUAACCAUAGCACCCCAGAUCAAGCCAUAGACUCAUCAAUGCUCCAUUUUGGAAGGACUAUCAGCUAGACUACAUUUUUGGUGCUAUAGGGCAUUGAAUGCCCCGGUUCGCGUGGUGACUACGAGGAUGGCGUGCCUGUGCACACACUCUGUGCGCAGUGGCCGCGUCCAGGGCGCCGUUUCUGCUUCGUCCGCUUACCCCUCGUCGUCUUAGCGCGUGUGAGCAUGUCCAUGUCUUCCUCUCGUCGUCGCCGUUCCCCUGGACCCCUCUCCCUCUUCGCCCGCUUCCUCACCGACGCAAGCCGCCGCGCGACCACGGGCGAACAGUGCCGGUUUGGCUUGGAGCUCGCCGUCUUCUUCGUCCCUGUGCUCCUUUGGCCUUCUCCUCCCCGUGAGAACCUCCACUGCUCAUCCUACGUUGUCUACCUCCGAGCUCGCGAGCGUGGGCACGCGUCCGCGGCGCGGGACACGGGUCCGCGGCGACGCCAGCUCAACCCCCUCCUUCCCCGCCUAUAUAAGCCCACCCCGAGGCCUCUCGACCUCACCAAGCUUCUUCCCUCCCUCCUAGCUUCCUCCCCGACCACCCAAACGAGCUCGAGGAGCUCUCAGUCCUUCCCCUCGUCGCCACGGCCGCCGCUCUGUCCCGCCUAAAUUCGCUCAAAGCCGUCCCCCUCCUUGCCUUCUUCCACCACCAGAGCCCCUAUCUACAUCCGGCGAACCUCCCCCGCCGUUUCCCUCACCCUCCGGCGCACCAGGGAGCCGUGCCCGUCACCGCCCGACGUGGCCGUCCGCUGCGGUCGAGGCUGCUCCCGUUCCCGUCGUCUUCAGCAACCGGGAGGCCGACCAGGCGAUGCGGCUCGGUCCCCCGAGCACGUUGGUGUGCCGAGCGCCGCGGGAGGCAGCCGGAAUCGCCGACGAGCCCCGUCGGGAUCCUCCUCUGCCGCGGCCGAACGCCGGCACGAGAGGUUGAAGGCGCUGACUUGGCCAGGCGGGCCCCACCCGAGCACGACCCCACCUGUCAGCCGCACGUCCGUUGACCCCGCGCAGAUGACGUGGAUAAGUGGAGACGUACUCCUGGUGAGUACGCUUUCCCUUGUCGAAAGCGUCUCCUGCUUCUUCUUUGGGACAGAGUACGUUUUCAUCUCUGGAAAGCGUAUUUCCAUAAACUGCGCUUUCUGUUUUUCUGACCAGGUCCAGUUUGUAAAGAUUUUUCUUGCAAAUGGGUCCCUGGCAAAAAACACUUCAUAUCUUUUUACGCCUAGCUCCAAAUCAGGUGAUUCCAAAGCGCACGUCUUCGUUUUGUCGAGCCCGUUCUGAUGGAACCAUAUUCGCCAUGUUUUGACAUUCUGAAAAUGACCAUUUUGCCCCUGCCAUUAUUCAGCCCCUCCGAGAGAGUACGUUUUCCAGCGAUUCUUUCCGCGAGUUUCUAGCACUUUCUCCCGGUGAUUUCUUCCACCCCAGGCAAGCCACACCCUCCAUUUGCAUGAUUGCAAUGCAGUGACAUGGUUUCUUUAUUUAAACUUGUUUAAAAUAUUGUUCUAGCUACUUGUGAUUUGUUCAUGGCAUUCUCGGAGUAUUGUUUUGAUCUUGCUAUUGCCAUGAUAUUGCUUGGAGUUCUAGGACUUAUAUUUUGAUGAUUAUGUGGAUGACAUGUGCCUUUGGAUUCUUAGUGGCUAUUAUGAUUAUUUUCAUGAUGGUAUCUGGGAUUAUUUUGGAGUAUUACUUUGGAUAUCAUGUUGCCUUUGGAUUAUUAGUGGCUAGUGUUAUUUCCAUCAUGAUGCUAGAUGAUAUUAUGUUUUGGAGUAUGAUGUUGGAGAUGAUGCUUGCAUGUGGAUCAUAGUUGGAUAGUUAGUUCUUGAUAUUUGAGUAGUAGUCUUAUCGUUCUUGGAUUCAUCAUGAUAGUAGUGUUAUGCCGUCCUCGGAGUAUUUUGGUAAGAUGAUAUUAAGCCUUGGAUUAUUUGUGGGAUAUUGCUAUGACUUGGAUUAUAGUUUGAUAGUUGAUAUCGGAGUAUCAGUCAUCAUAGUUAUAUUUUUGGGGAUAAAUUCCGUCAUUAAGUUGGUCAGGUGCCACCGAACCGGGCUUUCUCCAAUGCAACCACAUUUGCCUUUAUGGGAAGGACCUAAUGCGAUGCUAUUGCCGUGCCUCUCGCCGGUGCCUCCAACGAGGGAAGGUUAUUGGCGCGCGCUACCCUGAUUAGGUAGGCGGACAUAAGCCUUGUGUGCUCGUAGUUGGAUUUUGCGCGCGUGUAUCCCCGUGUGGGACAGUUUAUGUUUUGGCCACGACGGUGGUCGUUGUGUCUUUGGUAGACACGGGGCCACCGAGGACUAGCCCAGUGGGGAGUGAGUCGGAGUGGCCGGGAGAGUGUCAUGGCAGUAGAUCGGUUUUGUCGGAACGCCGUUGGUCCACCCGAAUGGGAGUGCGAGGCCAUGGGUUCCGUGGUGUGGGUAAAGUGCGCUACCUCUGCAGAGUGUGUAUUUAAAUCUAUUGAUAGCCGCGUCCUCGGUCAUGGGCAUGGGUUCGUACUAGGUCACACCGUUCGAUCAACACUCACAUGACGGAAUGACUUAUAGGUGAUGUAUAUGUUGAUAUUUUGAGCAGUGCAGAUUGGCAGGAUGUUGAUGAUGAUGUUGGAGACCAAGUGUUGGUCAGGGUUGUGAUCGCCGGAAAGAUCAUAGUUUGAGACCAAGUGUUUGUCAGGGUUGUGAUCGCCGGAAAGAUCACAGUUUGAGACCAAGUGUUGGUCAUGGUAGUGAUCGCCGGAAAGAUCACCGUUUGGUUUUGAUCACGAGGUGAUCGAGAUGGUAUAUUGCUUGGCCGGCUAGCCAAGAGAGAUAUGGUUAUGGAGAUAUGAGAUGUUGGUUUAUCAGUAUUGUAGUAGUUUCAUAUCAUGCUUAGUAGUUGCUGUCGUAUCAUGGUAGUUGUUAAUUAAUUAACCUGUUAAUGCUAUGUUAUUGUCUUGCCUUGAUGUUUAUGGUUGUUGUGAGCUUGCGAGUACAUUCAAUGUACUGACCCGGCGUGUGAUGCCAGAUUGCAGGUGAUGCCAUGAUUUCUUGAUUGUUUGUCGAGGUGUCCGUUCGUGCGAGCUAGAUCGUGUCCCAGCCAGAGUCCCUGCGGAGUGGAGUUCACCAUCUUCAUCGUUGUUCCGCUGCUAGAAGUAUUCCGCUGCUACUAGUUGUUCCGCUGCUAGCAUAGAGCAAGUGUAGUAUCGCAGGCGUAGUGUCGCCGUGCUGAUGUGCUUCUUUGUAACAUCAGACCCUUGUAUUAUUAUUCUUGUAAUAAGAGCUGAUUU
rnacentral:lncRNA from 1 species